rnacentral:misc_RNA from 1 species
GUGAGUCAUCGAAUCUUUGAACGCACCUUGCGCUCCUUGGUAUUCCGAGGAGCAUGCCUGUUUGAGUGUCACGUGAAACCCUCACCCCUGCGAUGUCAAAGUCGUGGACGGUGGAUUUGGACGCUGCCGUUGUUGGCUCGUCUCGAAAUGCAUUAGCCGUGCGCGUCGCGCCAGCGCCUCUUGGUGUGAUAAUUAUCUACGCCGUUCAGAGUGCCAGUGCCCAAGACUGUGGCUCAUAGCCGUCUUCGGACAAUUCACUUUAACGCUCUGGCCUCAAAUCAGGUAGGACUACCCGCUGAACUUAAGCAUAUCAAUAAGCGGAGGA